GGGUUGUGAGGUUAAGCGACUAAGCGUACACGGUGGAUGCCCUGGCAGUCAGAGGCGAUGAAGGACGUGCUAAUCUGCGAAAAGCGUCGGUAAGGUGAUAUGAACCGUUACAGCCGGCGAUGUCCGAAUGGGGAAACCCAGUGCAAUUCGUUGCACUAUCGUUAACUGAAUACAUAGGUUAACGAGGCGAACCGGGGGAACUGAAACAUCUAAGUACCCCGAGGAAAAGAAAUCAACCGAGAUUCCCCCAGUAGCGGCGAGCGAACGGGGAGCAGCCCAGAGUCUGAAUCAGCUUGUGUGUUAGUGGAACGGUCUGGAAAGUCCGACGGUACAGGGUGAUAGUCCCGUACACCAAAAUGCACAGGUUGUGAACUCGAAGAGUAGGGCGGGACACGUGGUAUCCUGUCUGAAUAUGGGGGGACCAUCCUCCAAGGCUAAAUACUCCUGACUGACCGAUAGUGAACCAGUACCGUGAGGGAAAGGCGAAAAGAACCCCGGCGAGGGGAGUGAAAAAGAACCUGAAACCGUGUACGUACAAGCAGUGGGAGCACCUUCGGGUGUGACUGCGUACCUUUUGUAUAAUGGGUCAGCGACUUAUAUUCUGUAGCAAGGUUAACCGUAUAGGGGAGCCGCAGGGAAACCGAGUCUUAACUGGGCGUUAAGUUGCAGGGUAUAGACCCGAAACCCGGUGAUCUAGCCAUGGGCAGGUUGAAGGUUGGGUAACACUAACUGGAGGACCGAACCGACUAAUGUUGAAAAAUUAGCGGAUGACUUGUGGCUGGGGGUGAAAGGCCAAUCAAACCGGGAGAUAGCUGGUUCUCCCCGAAAGCUAUUUAGGUAGCGCCUCGUGAAUUCAUCUUCGGGGUAGAGCACUGUUUCGGCUAGGGGGUCAUCCCGACUUACCAACCCGAUGCAAACUACGAAUACCGAAGAAUGUUAUCACGGGAGACACACGGCGGGUGCUAACGUCCGUCGUGAAGAGGGAAACAACCCAGACCGCCAGCUAAGGUCCCAAAGUCAUGGUUAAGUGGGAAACGAUGUGGGAAGGCACAGACAGCCAGGAUGUUGGCUUAGAAGCAGCCAUCAUUUAAAGAAAGCGUAAUAGCUCACUGGUCGAGUCGGCCUGCGCGGAAGAUGUAACGGGGCUAAACCAUGCACCGAAGCUGCGGCAGCGACACUAUGUGUUGUUGGGUAGGGGAGCGUUCUGUAAGCCUGCGAAGGUGUGCUGUGAGGCAUGCUGGAGGUAUCAGAAGUGCGAAUGCUGACAUAAGUAACGAUAAAGCGGGUGAAAAGCCCGCUCGCCGGAAGACCAAGGGUUCCUGUCCAACGUUAAUCGGGGCAGGGUGAGUCGACCCCUAAGGCGAGGCCGAAAGGCGUAGUCGAUGGGAAACAGGUUAAUAUUCCUGUACUUGGUGUUACUGCGAAGGGGGACGGAGAAGGCUAUGUUAGCCGGGCGACGGUUGUCCCGGUUUAAGCAUGUAGGCUGGUUAUCCAGGCAAAUCCGGAUAAUCAAGGCUGAGGUGUGAUGACGAGGCACUACGGUGCUGAAGUAACAAAUGCCCUGCUUCCAGGAAAAGCCUCUAAGCAUCAGGUAACAUCAAAUCGUACCCCAAACCGACACAGGUGGUCAGGUAGAGAAUACCAAGGCGCUUGAGAGAACUCGGGUGAAGGAACUAGGCAAAAUGGUGCCGUAACUUCGGGAGAAGGCACGCUGGUGUGUAGGUGAAGUCCCUGCGGAUGGAGCUGAGACCAGUCGAAGAUACCAGCUGGCUGCAACUGUUUAUUAAAAACACAGCACUGUGCAAACACGAAAGUGGACGUAUACGGUGUGACGCCUGCCCGGUGCCGGAAGGUUAAUUGAUGGGGUUAUCCGUAAGGAGAAGCUCUUGAUCGAAGCCCCGGUAAACGGCGGCCGUAACUAUAACGGUCCUAAGGUAGCGAAAUUCCUUGUCGGGUAAGUUCCGACCUGCACGAAUGGCGUAAUGAUGGCCAGGCUGUCUCCACCCGAGACUCAGUGAAAUUGAACUCGCUGUGAAGAUGCAGUGUACCCGCGGCAAGACGGAAAGACCCCGUGAACCUUUACUAUAGCUUGACACUGAACAUUGAGCCUUGAUGUGUAGGAUAGGUGGGAGGCUUUGAAGCGUGGACGCCAGUCUGCGUGGAGCCAACCUUGAAAUACCACCCUUUAAUGUUUGAUGUUCUAACGUUGGCCCCUUACCGGGGUUGCGGACAGUGUCUGGUGGGUAGUUUGACUGGGGCGGUCUCCUCCCAAAGCGUAACGGAGGAGCACGAAGGUUAGCUAAUCCUGGUCGGACAUCAGGAGGUUAGUGCAAUGGCAUAAGCUAGCUUGACUGCGAGCGUGACGGCGCGAGCAGGUGCGAAAGCAGGUCAUAGUGAUCCGGUGGUUCUGAAUGGAAGGGCCAUCGCUCAACGGAUAAAAGGUACUCCGGGGAUAACAGGCUGAUACCGCCCAAGAGUUCAUAUCGACGGCGGUGUUUGGCACCUCGAUGUCGGCUCAUCACAUCCUGGGGCUGAAGUAGGUCCCAAGGGUAUGGCUGUUCGCCAUUUAAAGUGGUACGCGAGCUGGGUUUAGAACGUCGUGAGACAGUUCGGUCCCUAUCUGCCGUGGGCGCUGGAGAAUUGAGGGGGGCUGCUCCUAGUACGAGAGGACCGGAGUGGACGCAUCACUGGUGUUCGGGUUGUCAUGCCAAUGGCACUGCCCGGUAGCUAAAUGCGGAAGAGAUAAGUGCUGAAAGCAUCUAAGCACGAAACUUGCCCCGAGAUGAGUUCUCCCUGAGACUUUAAGUCUCCUGAAGGAACGUUAAAGACGAUGACGUUGAUAGGCCGGGUGUGUAAGCGCAGCGAUGCGUUGAGCUAACCGGUACUAAUGAACCGUGAGGCUUAACCUUACAACGCCGAAG
rnacentral:rRNA from 1 species